UACGUAGGGUGCAAGCGUUGUCCGGAAUUAUUGGGCGUAAAGAGCUUGUAGGCGGUUUGUCGCGUCUGCUGUGAAAUUUCGGGGCUCAACCCCGAACUUGCAGUGGGUACGGGCAGACUAGAGUGUGGUAGGGGAGACUGGAAUUCCUGGUGUAGCGGUGAAAUGCGCAGAUAUCGGGAGGAACACCGGUGGCGAAGGCGGUUCUCUGGGCCUUACCUGACGCUGAGGAGCGAAAGCGUGGGGAGCGGAACAGG
rnacentral:rRNA from 1 species